rfam:Ixodes scapularis strain Wikel colony gcontig_1108379607506, whole genome shotgun sequence.
UCUGAGGCGACUCAGAAUCUGAAGGAAGUUGAUGGCAAAAGGUUGGUUGCAACGUACAGAAAUAAGAUAGAAGGCUUUCACUGAUGGGGAAUGUAGCAGCCGGAUACAGAAUCCCAAUAUCCAGACGUAAUUAGUGAGGGUAGAUCUUAUGUAAUCGCCGGGAAUAAUAGUGUCUUAC